ensembl:lncRNA
UCCCUUCUAUGCAUAUUCUGAAAUGAGAUAAUACAGCAGCACACAACAUCACUAUACAAUGUUUUAUUUGCAUUAAAUGUUAGUUACUGCAUUUUAAAUGUCUGUACGGUGAUCAGUUCCCUUUAUAAUCCAUCAAAAUCAGUACAGUUGACAAUAUUACUGCAUUCAGGAAAACAUACCAUAUAAAGAAAACAGUUAUGAAAUUGCAAACGUUACAAAAAUAUGACUGUAUACACAAUUUCAGGUAUUGCAUCAGUGCAUAUUUAGCAGCAUAGAUGAUGGCCACAAGGCACAUAGUAAGUGAUAUAGGUGGAAAAACAGUAACUUGAUUAAAAUUACUCAGUCAAAAUGAAAUUUUCAGUGGUUAUGUCCCUUGAGAAAUAACAAUAUAUGCCAUUUUCAUUCAUAUAUGAUUUACUAACUUUUUUAACAGUACAAAAUGUGAAUUGGACCCAUAGUGAACUACAAAAAAAAAAUAAAAAAACAUGUGGAAGCCAAGCAGCUUUCUGCCAGACCAGCUAAUUGAUCUUCUACAGGUUGCAAAGGGAUUAGAACAAGCUGUAUUGUUCAUAGAGCAGAUACAUGGAAUUUCAUAAUAAAAGUAACAAUGCAGCCUUACAACUCAAAACGCUCAGUAGUGAGUAGAAACAUUAAGUGAGCUUGGUUAAACAUUUAUCAAAUGCAUACAUUUGCAGGUAAUAAAAUAUACUGUUAGAUGGUGGUUUUAUACUUAGCAAAUAAAUGUGCAGAUUCAAGAACACAAAGAACAAUAAGUGCUUUCAUUUUUCUUUCUUCAUUCAUGCCAAUAUUCAUAACAAACCCAUUUGAAUCUUCACGGCAUAUUUGAACAGCAGCUCAUAAGCUGAGUUUUCAGUCCUGUUGAGAUCAGUUAUUGGCUGAACUGGUCACAUGACCAUCAUACUCAAACUUCAUGGCACUGGCAGACUUUGUUUCUGGAGUCACUGUUAACAAGAGAGAGCUGAAGGAUGCUGCGUCCCCGACGCGCCACCACGGCCUCCCCUCACUAAAGAGCUCGGGUGGAUGCUGGGAGCCUGGCUUUUUGAUAACAGCGGCAUCUUUGCGCCUUCAAACAUCUGUCCUUUCAUCCGCGAAGGCUUCUCGGGAUGCUCUUCUGAGACUAGAGGUUGUCGGUCUUCCUCUUCUGAGAUGGCAAACACUGGUACAGUGACGUGGUCAUCCGCAAGGCUUGAUAUUUGACCUUUGACCUGCAGCUGGCUGGUAUCUGAGAGCGUGUUUGGGGUCAUAAGUCCAUUGGCUUGUGCUUUGGAGGACUCGAGCAAGCCGAAGCAGGGAGCGUUGAACCGUGAGUGUCUGAGGUUGCUGGUGGAGUUGAGGCGUCGCUGGCGCUGGGUGGGUUGAGUCAGGGGGUAAGAGGCGUUACUCCUGUCGGCAGGACUGUGAAGAGGAGCAUCAGAUAGGACCUUUCCCCUUCCAGAAUCUGUAGGAGUGCUUGGGAGUCCCUGAGCACACAGUCACAGUUAAAAAAACAAACAAACAGGUUUUUCAUUACUAUAUCCAAAAAACAGGAAUAGGAAUCCAAAAACAGGUCUGGUGAGUUUUGAAAUAUUCACACGAUGUUAAUCAUAUACCACAGAAAAACACUGUCCUAUUCUUCAAAGUGAAACUUUCUUUAAUGUGUGAGUUUCAUUAGACUUCCAGUGUAGGUUUAAAGACAGUUGCCUAUAUAUAUAUAUAUAUAUAUAUAUAUAUAUAUAUUAGGGCUGUCAAAUGAUUAAUCACGAUUAAUCACAUCCAAAAUAAAAGUUUUGUUUACAUAAUAUAUGUAUGUGUACA